ACAUAUUUUUACACUCAAAGUCCCCUUAAGUGGGGCUACAGUCCACAGAAGGUGCUAAACCUGCAAGGGUGAAAAAGUUACGGUAGGUUAUUCCUCGGAUUUAGGUUGUUUGAGAUUGCAGCCCAAAGAGGGUGGUAAACUUCAUCUAAGGCUAAAUAUGACUACAAGAGCGAUAGCAAACAAUUACCGUGAGGGAAAGUUGCAAAGAACUUUGAAGAGAGAGUUCAAGGAUGUGAAACCGCUAAAAUGGAAACCGAUAGAGUUAACGGAACUUUAUCGGUAUCCAACCAAUCAAUUUAGCAAUCUUAUUUUGUAAUUAUUCAUUAAUGUUAUUUAUUAAUGAAUAAAAUAAUAUUAAUGUUAAAUUACUAUAUGCGCAAAUUGGUGUAUUUAUCAGUAGUAUGCAUCGCGAGCUUCAUUUUAGCAUAUUAAUACAAGUUAAUUUAAUAGACCAAUUCUUUCAAUUGCAAUCAUAAUGAAAUAUAA
rnacentral:ncRNA from 1 species